ACUUCGUGGUUGGGGCAUUUCAAAAUCUUUUCAUUAAAUCUCUCUCACACAUCAUAUAGAUCUCCUCAUUGAAUUGACAAAAAUUUGUAAUUUUAUCUUGCAAUU
rfam:Capsicum annuum cultivar Zunla-1 chromosome 1, whole genome shotgun sequence